UUCUUACUAGUUUUAUAAGAACAUUCUAUUCGUUGUGUUGUAACAGAAACAG
rnacentral:tRNA from 1 species